CAACCGCCACAUGUGGUGUUGUAGAAUUCUUUUGCAUCAGCCAGAAAACCACCCACCCAAAUCCUCCGCCCGAACUCUUUCCUCCGCCCCCGUUCCUGUCGAUGCUGAUACACCCAAUUCCAACCCACUUCCGAUGCUCAUAUCCCUCGGCUCUCCCCUUCUCCCUCCCCACACUCCAAUCAGUCGCCGCCAGCGUGGCCAGCUCCAUCUCCGCCCUGCCGAGGAGAGCCUCCCCCGUCAAGAGCGGCGACGCGACCGAGGAAGCUGCGUUGCUCGUCCACCAAAUCCUACCUAAGCCUUGCGAACGGAACCAACCCAUGGUGGUUAGGUCACGAUCAGCAAGUUCGUGAGGGUCGUUCGUACCGAGCACUUCUUCCUGCUCUUCCAGGAGCUCGGGAAGCGCGAUCGCUGAUUCCAGUGCCUAGAGGCGAUUCUCCAUUUUAGAUUUGGUGUUUCGUGGAUUUUCAAAUAGGCAACAAGAAGAAGAGCAGAGGGAUCUCAAUUGACUCGCCUUGAUGAGAUGCAUCAGUUCCAUGCUGCUCCUUUAAAAUGCCUCGACGAGAUACAUCAGGUUAGUGACAUAUUUGGUGCCUUUUCUUUCUAGAAUCCUUGGUUGAAGUUCUUUUGUAAAAUCUACAUUGUUUUAGUUCAAUGUUGGUUCCUUGUUCUUUCCCUUUUCUGAGCAUUUUUAUUUAAAGAUUCAAGCUUUUCUGUAUCUUCUGAACUCAAUUGGUGCAGUCCAACCACAUUGUAGCACUGUUUCUGAAACAUGAAAAACAUUGAUAUUUGCUCUUU